UACAGAGGUCUCAAGCGUUGUUCGGAUUCAUUGGGCGUAAAGGGCGCGUAGGCGGCGAGGUAAGUCGGGUGUGAAAUCUCAGAGCUCAACUCUGAAACUGCACUCGAUACUGCUUGCUAGAGGACUGGAGAGGAGAUUGGAAUUCACGGUGUAGCAGUGAAAUGCGUAGAGAUCGUGAGGAAGACCAGUGGCGAAGGCGGAUCUCUGGACAGUUCCUGACGCUGAGGCGCGAAGGCCAGGGGAGCAAACGGG
rnacentral:rRNA from 1 species